rnacentral:rRNA from 1 species
CGGCGUGCUUAACACAUGCAAGUCGUACGAGAUGAUUGAAAGCUUGCUUUUGAGAGUCGAGUGGCAAACGGGUGAGUAACGCGUAGACAACCUGCCGUAAAGAUGGUGACAACAGUUCGAAAGGACUGCUAAUACCGAAUGUUGUAGAGUUUCCGCAUGGGAAUCCUACUAAAGAUGGCCUCUACUUGUAAGCUAUCGCUUUACGAUGGGUCUGCGUCUGAUUAGCUAGUUGGUGGGGUAACGGCUUACCAAGGCGACGAUCAGUAGCCGGUCUGAGAGGAUGAACGGCCACAUUGGAACUGAGACACGGUCCAGACUCCUACGGGAGGCAGCAGUGGGGAAUCUUCCGCAAUGGGCGCAAGCCUGACGGAGCAACGCCGCGUGAGUGAAGAAGGGUUUCGACUCGUAAAGCUCUGUUGCCGGGGACGAAUGUGGAGAUGGUGAAUAACCAUUUUCAAUGACGGUACCUUACGAGGAAGCCACGGCUAACUACGUGCCAGCAGCCGCGGUAAUACGUAGGUGGCGAGCGUUGUCCGGAAUUAUUGGGCGUAAAGGGAGCGCAGGCGGGAGGUCAAGUCUAUCUUAAAAGUGCGGGGCUCAACCCCGUGAGGGGAUGGAAACUGGGCUUCUUGAGUGCAGGAGAGGAAAGCGGAAUUCCUAGUGUAGCGGUGAAAUGCGUAGAUAUUAGGAGGAACACAGUGGCGAAGGCGGCUUUCUGGACUGGUAACUGACGUUGAGGCUUAAAAGCGUGGGGAGCAAACAGGAAUAGAUACCCUGGUAGUCCACCGCCGUAAACGAAUGAAUGCUAGGUGUAGGAGGUAUCGACCCCUCCUGUGCCGGAGUUAACGCAAUAAGCAUUCCGCCUGGGGAGUACGGCCGCAAGGCUGAAACUCAAAGGAAUUGACGGGGGCCCGCACAAGCGGUGGAGUAUGUGGUUUAAUUCGACGCAACGCGAAGAACCUUACCAGGGCUUGACAUUGAAGUGAAAGGAUUAGAGAUAAUCCCCUCUCUUCGGAGACACGAAAACAGGUGGUGCAUGGCUGUCGUCAGCUCGUGUCGUGAGAUGUUGGGUUAAGUCCCGCAACGAGCGCAACCCCUAUCCUUUGUUGCCAGCACGUAAUGGUGGGAACUCAAAGGAGACUGCCGCGGACAACGCGGAGGAAGGCGGGGAUGACGUCAAGUCAUCAUGCCCCUUAUGUCCUGGGCUACACACGUACUACAAUGGGAUGGACAGAGAGCAGCGAAGCCGC